rnacentral:rRNA from 1 species
AGAGACUGCAAGCGUUAUUCGGAUUCACUGGGCGUAAAGGGUGCGCAGGCGGCCAAGUGUGUGAGGCGUGAAAGCCCGGAGCUUAACUCCGGAAUUGCACCUCAAACUACAUGGCUAGAGCAUUGGAGAGGGUAGCGGAAUUCACGGUGUAGCAGUGAAAUGCGUAGAUAUCGUGAGGAACACCAGAGGCGAAGGCGGCUACCUGGACAAUUGCUGACGCUCAGGCACGAAAGCGUGGGGAGCAAAAGGGAUUAGAUACCCCUGUAGUCCACGCCCUAAACGGUGCACACUAGGUCUUGGCGGAUUCGACCCCACCAGGGCCCAAGCUAACGCGUUAAGUGUGCCGCCUGAGGACUACGGCC